GGGCCAAUGAGGAAAUCUAUAUAAAAGAACACCAUCUUUCGGGACUGAAUGGUCUUUUUUAAAGACUUAAUUUGAUGCUAAUUCUGCAAUUCUGAGGCCU